rnacentral:rRNA from 1 species
UACGUAGGGUGCAAGCGUUGUCCGGAAUCAUUGGGCGUAAAGCGCGUGUAGGCGGCUUGGUAAGUCAGCUGUGAAAGCCCAGGGCUCAACCCUGGGAUGCCGGUUGAUACUGCCAAGCUCGAGUCCGGAAGAGGAGUGUGGAAUUCCUGGUGUAGCGGUGAAAUGCGCAGAUAUCAGGAGGAACACCAAUGGCGAAGGCAGCACUCUGGGACGUGACUGACGCUGAGACGCGAAAGCGUGGGGAGCAAAC